rnacentral:rRNA from 1 species
CUGUAUAUACUUCAGGUAGUAACAGAGAGUUCGAUUAUGGCUCAGAUUGAACGCUGGCGGGAUGCUUUACACAUGCAAGUCGAACGGCAGCACGGACUGGUCUGCGGGUUAGAGUGGAAAGAACUGGCGGAGUAGUGUAUCGAACGUGCUCAGAAGGGGAGUAACUACGCGAAAGCGUAGCUAAUACCGCAUACGCUGCCCUUCGGGGGAAAGCGGGGGACUCGGGCCUCGCACUAUUAGAGCGGCCGAUAUCGGAUUAGCUAGUUGGUGGGGUAACGGCUCACCAAGGCGACGAUCCAGAAGCGGUUUUGAGAGGACGACCAGCCAUACCGACCAGACGGCCCAGACUCUGCCGGGAGUGCGGUGCAGUGGGGAAUUUUGACAAUGGGGGAAAACCCCUGAUCCAGCCAUCCCGCGUGUGCGAUGAAGGCCUUCGGGUUGUAAAAGCACUUUUGGCAGGAAAGAAACGGCACGGAUAAUACCCCGUAACCGACGGGUAUUCUGGUAAUAAGGUACCGGCUAGACCACGCAGCAGCCGCGGUAAUACGUAGGGUGCAAGCGUUAGACCGGAAUACAUUGGGCGUAAAGCGCAGCAGGCGGUUCGGAAAGAAAAAGAUGCGGAAAUCCCAGAGCUUAACUUUGGAACUGCAUUUUUAACUACCGAGCUAGAGUGUGUCAGAGGGAGGGUGGAGAAUUCCGCGUAGCAGUGAAAUGCAGAUAUGCGGAGGAACACCGAUGGCGAAGGCUUCUGAUAAUAUUUGACGCUCAUGCACGAAAGCGGGAGCAAACAGGAUUAUUACCCUGGCAGUCCACGCCCAACGACGUCGGUCCAGCUGUUGGGGCCUUCGUAUUCGGUAGCAGCCAACGCGUGAAGUUGACCGCCUGGGGAGUAAUGGUCAGCAAGAUUAAAACUCAAAGGAAUUCGAAUGGGACCCGCACAAGCGGUGGAGUGAUGGAUUAUCUGAUGCAUCACAAACCUUACCUACCCUUGACAUGUCUGGAAUCCCGAAGAGAUUUGGAAGUGCUCUUCGGUAAGAGAACCGGAACGACAGGUGGGCAUGACGUCGUCACGCUCGGUGUCGUGAGAGCGUUGAAGAGUCCCCAACGAGCGCAACCUUCUUGUCAUUAGUUGCCACAGCAAGUACCGACGAGACUGCCGGCAGACAAACCAGGGAAGGUGGGGAUGACGUCAAGUCCUCAUGGCCCUUAUGGGAAUACACGUCAUACAAUGGUCGGGAUAGAGGGUCGCCAACUCACAGGGGAGCCAAUCCCAGGAAACCGAUCGGCGUCCAUGGAUCGUGAAUCUUGCAACCUGACUGGUGCGAAGUCGGAAUCGCUAGUAACGCGGAUCAGCAUGUCGCGGUGAAUACGUUCCCGGGUCUUGUACACACCGCCCGUCGAAUUGGCGGAGUGGGUUUUACCAGAAGUAGUUAGCCUAACCGUAAGGAGGGCGAUUACCACGGUAGAUUCGAUGAUCAGCAGUCGUAACAUA